rnacentral:lncRNA from 1 species
CAGCCAUAAAAAAAAACCCAUCCCAGAUCCGAUCAGUGUAUCAUACCUCUUUCUCUCAGCAACGCUUCUCUCUCUCUCUCUUACUAUGAAGAAAGACGGAAGAAGAACGGAAGGGCACAACUCUGACCAAAUCGACAAGGAUCCGGCGAUUUUGACAAUCGUAACGAGUAAAAUCUCUCUCUACAAAGGUAAAACUCUAUUACUAUAUUAAUUUUGUAAUUUUUGUUUCUAUCGUAAGAAAAAAGAUUGGUUUGUUAGAAAGAUUGGAUUUUGGAGGAUUGUAAUUGUUUAAUUUCGAAUGGGGUGUUUUGAUUUUGUUAGAAUUUUGAAGAGGUUUGUAGAUACUUGUUCUUAUUUCUUCGAAUUUUAUUUAGAAAACGUGUGAAACAAUUUACUGAAACUGAAAGCAAUGGUGUCCACAUGUUUUAAUCUACUCUGCACAUAUUGUUCAAAAAAAAUUGUAAUAUGAAGAUAGUAUAUAAAAAAAUUGUAAAAUUGAAAAAGUAUUGUAAGAG